AACGCUAGCUACAGGCUUAACACAUGCAAGUCGAGGGGCAGCAUUGGAGUAGCAAUACUUCAGAUGGCGACCGGCGCACGGGUGAGUAACACGUAUCCAACCUGCCGUCUACUCUUGGACAGCCUUCUGAAAGGAAGAUUAAUACAAGAUGGCAUCAUGAGUCCGCAUGUUCACAUGAUUAAAGGUAUUCCGGUAGACGAUGGGGAUGCGUUCCAUUAGAUAGUAGGCGGGGUAACGGCCCACCUAGUCUUCGAUGGAUAGGGGUUCUGAGAGGAAGGUCCCCCACAUUGGAACUGAGACACGGUCCAAACUCCUACGGGAGGCAGCAGUGAGGAAUAUUGGUCAAUGGGCGAGAGCCUGAACCAGCCAAGUAGCGUGCAGGAUGACGGCCCUAUGGGUUGUAAACUGCUUUUAUAAGGGAAUAAAGUGAGUCUCGUGAGACUUUUUGCAUGUACCUUAUGAAUAAGGACCGGCUAAUUCCGUGCCAGCAGCCGCGGUAAUACGGAAGGUCCGGGCGUUAUCCGGAUUUAUUGGGUUUAAAGGGAGCGUAGGCCGGAGAUUAAGCGUGUUGUGAAAUGUAGACGCUCAACGUCUGCACUGCAGCGCGAACUGGUUUCCUUGAGUACGCACAAAGUGGGCGGAAUUCGUGGUGUAGCGGUGAAAUGCUUAGAUAUCACGAAGAACUCCGAUUG
rnacentral:rRNA from 1 species